UACGUAGGGGGCGAGCGUUGUCCGGAUUUACUGGGCGUAAAGAGCGCGCAGGCGGUCGUUCAAGUCGAGUGUGAAAGCCCCCGGCUCAACUGGGGAGGGUCACGCGAUACUGAUCGACUCGAAGGCAGGAGAGGGUAGUGGAAUUCCCGGUGUAGUGGUGAAAUGCGUAGAUAUCGGGAGGAACACCAGUGGCGAAGGCGACUACCUGGCCUGUUCUUGACGCUGAGGCGCGAAAGCUAGGGGAGCAAACGGG
rnacentral:rRNA from 1 species